UUUUUUUUUUUUUUUUUUUUUUUUUGAGACAAGGUUUGUCUGUGUAGCCCUGGCUGUCCUGGAACUCACUCUGUAGACCAGGCUGGCCUCGAACUCAGAAAUUCACCUGCCUCUGCCUCCCAAGUGCUGGGACUAAAGGCAUGCGCCACCACACCCGGCCCCUGGAGAUGGUUUCUAAUAAUGUCUUUUAAGGUUUUACUUUCAUAGAUGGAACUUUAAACAUCUGAGUUCUAUUUUGCAUAGGUCGUAAGCUAUAGGAGGAUUUUGAUUUAGUGUACAUCACAAGGCGUCUCUGUGCUUUCUUGCAUUAGCUUGUAACACUUUCUUAGUCUGCAUUAGCUUGUAACACUUUCUUAGUCAUGUUGAACAUGACCGCAACUCUUAGGACCCACGUGGGCAGUGCUCUCCCUGUCCAUGGUCUGUUCUCACUGUCUCAGAGCCACACUGCCGUGAGCAGUCCUCAGCUCUGGUGAGCUAAGUCCCCUCACCUGCUUCUCCCAGGGUCCUUAACUGUUCUGGCUUUGUUUCUCUUAAGUUGACAGAUGCCACCAAAAGACACUUUGAAAAUUUGAUAGGGAUUACAUGUAAUUGGUAGAUUAAUUGGAGGUAAGGAUUAUCUCAUUGAAUCUGCCUGUUUCAACAGGAUCUCCACUUAGGUUGUUUUUUUAUGAUAUGGUUUGUUUCUGUAAAGACCUUCAAUAGCUUCAAAAAUUAGAAUUUGAUUACCAAAGGUUACAAUAGCUGACAGAGCACUCCUGUGUUGUAUAGUUUCUGUUGGUAAAGGAAAUGCCAUUUCUGUAUGUAUGUGUGUUUGUGUGUUGUGUGGUGUGUAUGUACAUAUGUGUGUAUGUAUAGUUACUGAUUCCUUUUUUACUCCUGUUUUUCUCAAAUAAGCAAAGUUUUUCUUUACAUUAUGAAUUUACUAUGUUACAGAUAAUACAUUAAACAAAAUGUAUUUCAUUUAAUGAUCUGGGUCUACAAAUUAUGGUAUUUGUAUUCCUAAUAUGUAUACUUUUGCUAACAUAUUUUACUUAUAUUCAAAGAAGUAGAUUUUUUUUACUUCACUCUUUGUUUUAAAUAUCUUUUCUUAAAUUUUACUAAUUUCUGCUCAUAUCGCUUCCUGACAUAAUUCUCUAAGCAAACAGAAUAUUAUUAAAGUUGUAUGUGAGAGCCAAGAGUCUCUGUGUUGCUGACUGCCCACAGUCUUUCUCAUGAGAGUGGUCAUGUGAUAUGGUUGAGUCAUCUGAGCGUCUGUCCCUACCCACAUACCCAUAUUUGGAAACUGAGCACGGCCCUUCUGCUUGGUCCCUGAUGUUCCCUUCUGUUUUUGUUUAGGCAGGAGGCAUUUCAGCCGGGCUUCUUGUAAUCGCCUUACAUCGGGGCAUAAGCAGAGUCAGCCUAAAGGACCUAGAACCGUGGGGUUGGUCCUGCUAUCGUGGAUGAGAGUUAAUUAAAAAUUAAAGCUUAAUUAAAAAUCAUUACUGCUGGGAAAAAUCAAGAAGGGAGAUUUUGUGUAGGAUAAUACAUUUAUAAAAUUACUCUGCCCCCCCCCACACACAUACACACACUGUUGAUUUCUCAGGGCAUGUGCAACAGUGAACUGGCAUUUCUAACAAGUAUGGGUGGCAUCUCAUACAAAUAACUAUACUGGCCACUGCUCCAGGAUCCAGGGACUGAGCCCGACUGCAAGUUCUGCCUAGGCUUGUUUGGGUAACUGUGAUGACUCCUUCCUGAAGUUCACCUUUGAAGGAACUCUGCCUUGCAUGGGUGGUGGCAUUGAGUAGACUCACUUGGUAGAUGAGAGGGUAGUACCGAGCUGCCAUUUCUGUCAGUCAUCGGCCAAGUGGUAACGCAGGAUUCUUUUAGAUGAAGGAUGGUUUGUAGCCCUGUGCUCUAUCUGAAUCUCCUCUUGCUCUGUAGAGUGAAUUUCACAUGUAUUCAGCCAUCAUUUUCAAAGGCCUCCCAUACAGAUGUUAACUUCCAGGGAGGAAGGAAAAAACAAUUUCCUUAUAUGUUUGAUUGAGUUGUGUUGGUAGGCUCCACCUAAAGCCAUUGUUUGCAUUGCCUGCAGGUGCAGUAAAUCAUUGCUUUUGCACUGCAAGCUUCUCCCAGGGCUGCCUAGUUGCUCUGGGUUUAUGGGGAGGCAACAAGGGAAAUUCAGUUUUAGUUAGUUUACUUUUUGUGGUGUUGAGAAUUAUACCAUGAUCUUCAUGCAAGUGCUCUGUCACUGAGCUAAUGUCAAGGGGUGUUUAACCAAGAGUCCAGCUUGCAAAUAGUGUACAGCAAUCUCAUCUGCCUGCAAUCAGUUCAUAUUUUUUUCUACAGAGGUUAAAGUAAC
rnacentral:lncRNA from 1 species